GCCUGGGUGGCUCAGUCGGUUGAGCGUUUGACUUCAGCUCAGGUGAUGAUCUCACAGUUCAUGAGUUCAAGCCCCGCUUCAGGCU
rnacentral:tRNA from 1 species